GUAAAGACCAGAGAGAAGUGCUCAUCUUGCCCACUGCAGUCUAGAGAAGAGACAGCGAGAGAGAUGGAGAGAGAAAGAGAGAGAUGAACAGAAAGAGAGGGAGAGAGAGACAGAUUGACAGAGCCAAAGAGCAACAGAUAAUGCAUAAUGCAUUCUCCCAAAGAGCAGUUCUGCUAUCCAGCACAAACACAAGAGAGGCAAACCCAAACACCAAGCCGGCAAAACCGAGGCACUCUGCUAUCCCCGUGGCCAGAGUCAACCCGUAGAGAAUCUUGUUCCCUCCCCCGCAUCGUUGCAUGUUUCACUCUUCACCACCCGCCCGCUGGACCCACCAAGCAUUAUAUCCAAAAGAAAAACUUCUACCAGCUCUGAAAUGUUCCUCCAACUCCAGAUUUCCAGAUCAACCUGGAACUUCUUCCCCACUACACUCAGAAGCUCCAGAUGGUUUUGUGGAAAAUGCGAGAAAUAAACGAAUAAAGACGACAAGUCCCUCUUUCA